rnacentral:rRNA from 1 species
UGAAAUCCGUUGAUAUUAUGGGGAACACCAAAAGCGAAGGCAAUUCACUGGCGCAUUUCUGACACUGAGACACGAAAGCGUGGGUAGCGAAUGGGAUUAGAUACCCCAGUAGUCCACGCCGUAAACGAUGUUCUCUAGCUUUUCGGAGUAUCGACCCUCUGAGAGGCGAAGCUAACGCGUUAAGAGAACCGCCUGGGUAGUACGGCCGCAAGGCUAAAACUCAAAGGAAUAGACGGGGACUUGCACAAGCGGUGGAUCACGUGGUUUAAUUCGAUGAUACGCGAAGAACCUCACCAAGACUAGACAUCUAGCUUAUGUUUUUCUAGAAACAGAAAGACCUAUCGGCUAGACAGGUGAUGCAUGGUCGUCGUCAGUUCGUGGCUUGAGCUGUUCCCUUAAGUGGGGAAACGAACGCAACCCUUAUCGUCUGUUACAAGUGUCAGGCGAGACUGACCAGCCUUUUGGUCAUAAACAAUUUGUUUGUGAAUAAAAGGCUGGUAGGAAGGUGGGGAUGACGCCAGAUCAGCAUGUCCCUUGAUGUCUUGGGCUACACACAUGAUACAAUGGGUGUGACAACGGGUCGCGACGGGGUAACCCUGAGCCAAUCCUUUAAACACAUCCUCAGUUCGGAUUGAGGUCUGCAACUCGACCUCAUGAAGUUGGAAUCGCUAGUAAUCGCUGGUCAGCACACAGCGGUGAAUAUGUUCUCAAGUCUUGUACUCACCGCCCGUCAAGCCAAGGAAGCCGGGAGUGCCCGACGGUCGUCUUUAUGGCGAACUAAGGUAAAUUCGGUAACAGGGGCUAAGUCGUAACAAGGCACGGGUAGCGGAAGCUGUUCGUGGAUUAUUUCAAAA